CAGACCUGGAAUCUACCUUGUCUACUUCGCCGAGAACCACGAGGACUGUGAUGGCUACUCGAAGACCAAGGCUGAAGUCCACCACUCCUUCCUCUCUGGCAACCAAGCAAACUGUGAUGGCCUCACAUGACUUUCUUCAUGUAACUUCCACUCCCCAAAUAUCUACAUCAGCAAAAAUGUCAGAGCAAGAGACUGGUAAAUGACAUUUGUUUUAUUUCUAAUCCUUGAUCUUUCUUGAUACUUAGGUAGU
rnacentral:lncRNA from 1 species